UGAUAUGUAAAAUGAUUGUUUCUAAAUAAAAGAAAGAAAGAUAGUAGUGGAACCUUUGGAACAUAGGGCCCAGUGGGCAGAAGUAGGUCCCUCAGGGAUGGGCCUUUGAAGGUCAUCCCUGCCCCUGUUUCCAGUCCACUGCUCAAUUCCCACUCUGGCACAUGUAACUAAGUCUGGGAACUUUAGUCAAUUGUUCACAGUGAUUGAACAACAAGCAUAAGUUACUUUUCUUCUCACUAUGACCAAAUGCCUGCCACAGACAAGGGAGAAAGACUUUUUUGUCUGAUGGUUUUAUUGAAUACAGUCUGACACAAUGGGCAAGGUACUCAGAAUCUCUCCUACAUGUGCUGGUUCCAACUUGUGGCUGCUGCUUCUUCACAUGGUGGCAGAGCCAGAAAUGAGCAGUGGAUCUAUAGAGUAAAAAGAACAGACAACUAAAUAAGCAAUCUCUUCCUUUCCAUCUACACUACAAAUACCUAGGUCCUUAGAUACUCUUGCUGAACUUCUGAACUUACCUUGCCCUUCCGGUAUUAAUGUUCUAGUGCCUAGCAACUUCAGGAAUUUAUUUGACACUGGCCAUGUGGAGUUAUAUGAGUCACAUUUUGUAGACUCAUUUUCAAGCUUUAAAAAUUAUAUGUUCAAGGUUUUGAUGGUACGGCCAAGAUGCCCAAGUCAACUUAUCAAACGCUCUUAUCUCUCUUCUCUUCUCUUCUGUUCUUCCUGCCUUUCUCUCUUUCUCUUCCUUUCUUCUCUCCUCCUCCUUCCUUCUCUCCCUGUCCUCCUCCUCUCUUAUCCUCUCUCUUCCUUUUGUUCCUAUGACAUUUGUUCCUAGUCAUUGUCUUUCUAGGGAUCUGGUUCCUAUCUUCAUAUAGAAUGUAUAAAUAAUCUCAUCCCUCAGCCAUUGUGACAAUGACUGGAAAUAUAAUUUUGUGACAUGACCCUAAUAAUUUUGCUGAUCCCUAGCAAGAUGAUGUGGACCUAUUGUCUCCUGCCCAAUUCAUGAUGGAAAAUUAACUGUUUCCUCAUUUUGUAUCUGUUUAUCUUCUUGUGCACACAUAUCAGUUAAAGGAAUCACACUAAGCCUAAUCAAAGGGAACACAUCUCUUUGAGGUCUAGGACAGUGCACUCCUGGUAUUGCUUUGCCAUAGCUGAGGCACCAGAACUGAGGCUGCAAGCUAUCUGCCUGUACAUCUGUGAUUAAGAAAAUCCUUUGUCUAUUGUAUCAGUAUAAAAUAUUUCCUUCUUCCAUUAGUACUAAUUAGAUUUUAAAGUCUCACAGAUUAAAGCAGCUCCCUUGUAAUUGGUUUACAGAGCAUAAGAAAACUAAUAUAAAUCUCAUCUCUCCACAUUUGUGGAAAAUAAAAACGCUAAACUUCUCAUACCUACGUGUGUUACUUUUGAAAGAAUUUACUCUUAACUAUUAGCUAAGAAAUACCUUUAGAUAAGAAUACAAGAUCGGAUAAUCAACAGAACUCCUUAGAUAAGCUAGAUUAGUUGAAAAUAUUUGAAUUCAAAACAGAGUAAGAACAAAACCAAACAAAAGCACAGGUAUUUCAGAACCCAUAGAAACUGAUAAAAUGAUGGCUACUGGAGGCAAAGAUGGGGAAAUAAUAGUCAAAGCACGACACUUCAGCUCAAGAAAUCAAUUGUACAUUGCAGCAACUGUAAUCACUGGCAAUGUCCUUUAUAACUGAAAAUGGUGAGAGCCAUAUGGUUAGAUAUUAUCAUAAUAAACUGUCUGUGUGAUGUCAUGAGUUAAAAGGAUUGAUGUGAACAUUCUGUGACAUAUAUAGAUGAAAACAUAAUGUUCCACACCGUGAAGUGUACAAUUCUAGUUUGUCAGUUAAAACAUGAAUAAAAAAAAUAGCAAGUCAUAGCCUCUAGGAUUUCCUGAAUUUGCCUAGCAGAUUUGUUUGUCUUGACACUAGCUGACACAUACCCCUCUGAAAUUCAAAAAUUUUUUAUGCUGCUUUGAUGAUCAAAUCAUUUACAGCUACUUAUGGUAAUGGAUGAUGUAAAUUGUGUGAAAAAAAUUAAAUUCAAAGUCUGACAAACUGCUUCCAGUUGGUAGAAAUCAUAUUUUUUAAUGUAUCAGCUUAAACCUUGAUAUCCAAUGCCGUUCCUUAGCUUUAUGCUGUGGAAAUAGCACUGAAUAUUGUCGAUGAAUAAUCUCUGGAUCUAUAAAUAACUUUUUGAAUAAAGAAGAGCUAGCUACCUUGAUCAGAAGAUUUUGUGGUUUCACUUUUAUAUAUUUAUUUGUCUAGUGUUAAGAAACAGGAUUUCACUAUGUUGCUCAAGCUGUCCUUAAUCUCUGUGCUCAUCCACUCCUCAGGACUACAGUUGUGCACAACAUUACCUGAUUGUACUUCUCCAGACAAAAUCUUGCAGACUGUCUGCACUUGCUCUCAAAUCCCAUCUCCAUCUUGGCCAUGGUCCAGGCACAUCACAAUGCAGGAGGACUUCGGUUAAGGAAAGAACAGACAUGGAAGCAUAUCACUGAAGAAAUCGGUCUUGUGCUCGAUGAUGAUGAGUGGACACAAGAAGUGUGCCAUUGCCAUCAACAUAGUCUGAUGACAAACAAGUGAGGUAAGCUGCUAUGUUGGGAAGAUCCAUAAACCAAGAAAUUCAAAGAAACCAACAGCAAGCGGAAAAAUGAAGCCUCCAGUGUGGUGCAGAUGGGAUACAGUGAUGCCAAAACCUCUGGAAGCCUGGAAGCAGAUCUUCCCCUAGCCGAUACUUAUAUGAUGCCAUAGGUCUGCUGACCACCAUGGCCAAAGCUUGUUGAAAUCCUGAAGCAAAACUCCAGCUAAGCUGUGCACACAUUCUGACCUCUAGAUACUGCUACAAUGGAUGCAUGAUGUUUUCACAGUCUGUGAAGUAUUGUUCUGUACUUGCAGGGAAUUAUAUAGGGAAUAGCAGAUGGCAUGUAUUCAGACAUAUUAGCUAUAUAUCAUCAUGAUUGCAGUUACCAUUGUCAAUUACUAAAAUAUUAGUUUAUAUUCUUUCAUCUUUAUUCAUGUUUAUUUCAUGUUAUGGAUCAGUUAAGGUUGCAUUUCUUUUUAUGACCAAGGCUUUAAGAUUUAUUUUUAUUUAUUUUUGUGUACAUUUGCAUGUGAGUGCAUGUGUGUGUGCGUGUGUGUGUGUGUGUGUGUGUGUGUGUGUGUGAGUGUGUUGGUCAAAGAACAAUUUGCAGGAGAUGGUUUUCUCCUUUUACCAUGUGGAUCCUGGAAUUAAACUGAGGUCAUCCAGCUUGGCGACAACUAUCUUUACCUUCUGAGCGAUCUUGUCAGUCCAAAAUAACUUUUAAAGUAGUUAUUCGUGAAUGUAAUUCAUAAACAGAUGAGAUGUAUAAAUGAAACAAUAUUUCAAGUGAAAAAUUGAAGAUGCCAUGCAUCUAAAUUUUUAAUAUUUUUGCUAUAUUACUUUUAAAGUGUAUGUAAGCACUGUGUAUACUGAAUUGGGGAAGUGGGUUAAAAAUAAAACUUCUCACUGCUUCCGAAUAUACAGAGGUUAUAAACUGAAUUAAAAGAUAAGCAUUUAUCUGGGGAGCAAUUCAAUUUCAGGAAUGAUAAGUGUGUUUAUAAUGAUACAAUUAAUUCUAUGUCUCAACUCUUUCAUCAUUACAUGAUAUUAUACUCCAGUGUAACAAUUUAUGUAUGUGGAAAAUGUUUGAUUUAACCGACCUAAGUCAUUGUUGUAAUUUGAAUGUGAAAUACAUACACCCCUUCCCCCUGCACCAAGACCAUGUUUGAACAUUUGUCUCCAGAUGGUGAUGCUAUUUGGGACUAUUAUGGUACUUUCAGGGGUGAGAGCUUCUCUGGCAACAGACAUUGCAAUUUUAUAGUCCCCGUUUGCUGUCCGCUUCCUCAGUGCAAAUGAGAAGUGACCCAGGUUCUCUUCAGUCAUGCCUAGCCCAAGAUCUAGCAUGAAUGCAGAUCACAUGUCAGAGGGUUCAUCCAUUUUGCUGUGGGAUUUUAUAGACAGUCACUUGGAAAGGUCUCCAAGGCUUCCUCCAUACCAAAACUCAGGAGGGGUGGGGUUUCUUCAUCAUUGAACCCUUGAUCUACCAAGAUUGUCUUAUGGGAUGAAGCUUUGACAUCAAAGACUCUAAACUCUUGUCCAAGCAUUUGAUGAGGAUGUCUCCUUGCAUUUGCAGAAAUUUCUGUCAAACAAGUUGAUACCUUAUCUCCCUUACUCUCAAUCAGUAAACUAGACUCAGUUUCUAAAUUGUUCACAAAAGUAUGGACAUAUGAGAUCAAGUGUAGUGUCAGAGUGGACCCUCAUAACAAAAUGUAGAAAGAAAAUGAAUUAGUAAGGGAAGCCCAGACAGUUGAGUGUUUGUUGUGGAAAGAUAUUAGACAGAAGAAUGACAUACUUGUAAAAUAUUUAGGCUCAAAAGCCUACAGUGGCCCAAGAACAUAGUAAGGCAAACAUCAGAAUUCCAGAAUGUCAAAAUCAUGUUAUGAUCUUUUUUUUUUUUAAUGGGAGGGAAUAUAAGUUAAAGUGCUGGGAUUCAUUUCUAUCUAGUUCAACACAGGGAGUAAGCUAUAGCAAGAACCAGGAGGACUGUGUAAUAAAGCCCUAAAGAGGGUAAAAGUUAGGAGAAAGAAAAGGCAAUUAUCCAUUAAGGUAAAAUUGCACUAUCAUAGAACAUCCUUUGCAUAGCCUAGCAUCACUCAGUUCAAAGAAUACAUUAGAUUGGUCCAUUGAGGAAUUAAGGCUCAUUUAGGUCCUGAGCCACAACCCUUUUACCAAAUAAACUAGAGCUCAAAAUUCUCCACUCUUUUUAGCUUCCACAAUGCAAGGAAAAAACAUCAAAUCUGAGAAGAACCUAGGAAUACUCAUGGCUGCGCUCUGGUGGGUGUCAGGAAAUAACAGCCUACAGUAAUGUAGUUCUACAUGCCUUGUGAGUCAAAAGAGCCAAGUCCAAUCUUCCUCUAGAAAAAAAUAGGUGAAGUCAUCUUAGAAAUAUGACCUCCAAAAGCAGAACACAGCAGCAUGCUGGCCAGCUUGGAAUGUUUUUGUGACACUAAGAGCACCUAGAAACUUACUGCCUGUGUUGUUGGUGUGGUGUUCCUCUAUUGAUGCCCCUGUUAGAAGUCUGAAUACUUCUCCCAUAUGAAUUCAAAGUCUAGGACCUUAGAACUCAAGACAAUGGAAAACAAGGAAAAUAAGUUAAAAACACGAUAUAGUAUCUUUACUAUAUGUCCAAAAGUCAUAUAGCAGAAUAUAUGAGCAUAUUAUUUUGUACUUGGUUACAAAAACAUAUGACAUUGUGGAAUGAAAUGAAAGAAAUGAAUUAGAAGAAAAACUUCUACAAAAUACAACUGGAAUCAAUAUAAGUUAUAAGGGUCAAUUAGUUUUCAUUUUUGUUAUUCUGAUCAUGUUUCUACAUUACAGAGACAAACACUGCUGUUAUUGAUAAGCCUCUACUGGUAUCUUCAUUGUGAUGUACAUCUUAAAACAUUAAGUCUCGGUGUCAUGCCAUCGUUCUUGUGAAGUUGUUCUCAAAUAUCUUAAUGUGCCAGAAUCAUGACAUAUCUAUAAAGAAGCUUUACAUAAUGGCUUCUCUGAAAGCUAUAAUUAUUGAUGAACUACUAUCUAUAAUUGUAGGACCUUUCAUAAUAAUGGGUUUGAUGCUUUCCUCUAAUUGCUAAGAGGCUGCAUAUUGAAACAUGAGAAGCUUGGACUAGAAAUGAAAUUGAACAUUUCUUGUCAAAAUUACUGCUGAACUAUGGACAAAGGAAAAACAUCUACACUGAGAGUACUUGUUUCUCUAAAAUUAAAUAUGCACCUAUGCAUACAGGAGCACACUCACAUGUGCAUUGGCAAUCCUUCCUAUACCAUCUAGCAAGUAGGUUAGCAUGCAAAUUUUAGCAAUAAGGUCUAAGAACCAGGCUGCAAUCAACAUGGUUAACACUGAGUAAGCAGUUCUGUUUCUUUGUUUUUCACUUAGAAACUGAACAGUAGAGUUCAUUUUAAAGUCUUUUAAUAGGAAGCCUAGAAGUUGCUUUAUUUUUUUAAAAACGCAUACAAGAGGAGAUCUACCUUAUUAAUUUUAAGUGGACAAUGUUGGUAAUUAUAAACACAUUAUUGUAGAACAAAUCUUUAGAAAUUUUUCAUCAUGUAGAAUCAAAACUUCAUACUUGUUGGACAACAAGUCUAUCUCUUCUUCCUUGGGUCAUGUGCAACCAUCAUUUAAUCCUCAGUUCCUAUGAGUUUGGCUAUUUGGAACCCUCAUGUAAUAGGAAUUACACAGUAUUUUUACUCAGUAAGUAGCUUAUUUCUUCAGCAAAUGUCCUUCAGGUCCCUUUGUGUUAUCACAUGAAGGCAGACUUUACUUGGUUUUGAAUGCUGAAUAGUUUGCGCUGUUUGAACAACAGUCUUCUCAGCUAUUUAUUCUCUGGAAGUCACUGAGGUCCCUUCUACAUCUAUUGUAAACAAAGCUGCAAAGAACACAGAAGGUCUCUUUCAGAUUCUAAUUUCAAUGAUUUCAGUAAACAUCCAAGCAUAGCAUUGAUUACUUAGGCAUAUGGUGGUUCUACCUUUAAUAUUUGAGGAAUUUCCAUAUUGUUUUCUAUGCUGUCUUCACAAUUUUAUAUUACUGCCAAAAGUUGAGAAGGGACUCAGUUUCUCCAGAUACUUGCUAUCACUGGCUAGCAUCAUCCUAAUGAUGGUUGAAUUGUCAUCCUGUAACAUAAUAUCGAAUCGUGAAUUUUACUUGUACUUCCCCUAGUUAUGCACAGCAUCUUUUUAUUUACCUGUUAGCCAUUUGUCUUCUUUAAGGCCACACUUGUUCAAAUCCUUUGCCUAAUUAUUUUACAUGCAUGUGCGCAUGUGUGUUAUUAUAUGUGUGUGUAAGCUUAUAUAUGUGUAUGCGGUUGGCCUCCUCGGCGUGCUGUGUUUCUAAACAAGAAGCAUGCUAUUUAAGUCAGAACACUGAAUUCUGAACUAUCAUGACUAGCCCAUAGCUAGUUUGCACUCUGCACAUCACUUUUAACGGGCUUCCUCCACAUAGAGACUGGUGAUAUGAGCAUUCCCAAGUCAUGUGCUAAGCAAUCACAGUCAGUAAACUAGGUAGGUAAAUAGUUGCUCCUAUGCAAUAAAGCACAUGCUGUUCCCUGAAACCAAAUCCGGAGUGGUUCAGUUCAGUGCCACAGGCACUGCAGUCUUGUUGGGGACACCCUGGUAAUGAUGGCAAUUUGGCACCCAAACCUAGGGGAUGUGAGUGCUACAGAGUAAAGGAACCUCCUGGUAAAAGAAAUGAGAGGAGGUUGGGGACUGAAUGGGUAAUUUGUUGCUGGGUCAAAGAGUGACUCAAAUGCAGACAGCUAAGUGAAUAACAAAAGAGAAAGGAAUUCAAGCACAAAUGCCUGAGUUAGAAAAGUUUUGGUCUGAGUUCCUAAGAUGAAUCCUUGGUUUUCUAUAGAAGGCAUGUUUGAUGUAGCGCUGUGGGUGAGAGCUUUGAAAAAUGCAAAGAGAGAGGAAGUUAGGACUGGACAUUCCUUGUCGGAAUCCUUCUAUCCUAUUAUUAUG